rnacentral:lncRNA from 1 species
AUUUUUAUAGACCCUUGCUGUUAUUGCAGUCCACGGAAAAACAUCAGCACCAAGAUAUCAAACUGAUGCCCAAUUUAUAAAACUCAUGAAAAUAAAGAAAAUCCAGGGAUGGCAGCUUUAAGAAGAAUAACACCGAGAGAUUAAAUGAGUUUUAGGAGAGAAAAGCCUUUCUGCCUCCAGUCACCAGAUAAAAGGAACAUCAUUCCAGAGCUGGGAAA